GCCAACAUGGCAUAGUGGUUUGAGUGUUGGACUUCAACUCUAGAGACCAGGGUUCGAUUCCCAGCUCAGCCG